rnacentral:lncRNA from 1 species
CUGAGCGUAAUGUUAAUGUUCUGAGUGCUUCUGAAGUGACAGGAAGUGGUGCAUAUGCCCAGGGACAAAGCCAAGUUGAGGAGCAGAACCACAGUAGCUUGAGGAAGGAAUAGGUGAGAGUAGUGAUCCACCUGCCUCGGCCUCCCAAAGUGCUGGGAUUACAGGCGUGAGCCACCGCGUCCAGCCAAUUGGUGGGUUCCUGGUCUCACUGACUUCAAGAAUGAAGCCACGGACCCUCGCAGUGAGUGUUACAGUUCUUAAAGAUGGUGUGUUCAGAAUUUGUUCCUUCUGAUGUUCGGACGUGUAUGGAGUUUCUUCAUUCUGGUGGGUUCGUGGUCUCUCUGGCUUCAGGAAUGAAGCUGUAGAACUCUGCGAUGCUGUUACGAACUUCCCUUAGAAUCAACCCAUUUGUGAAACACCACAUUAAUAAGAGCAGUAUCUUUGGAGAUUGGAGAGUCCACCAAGGAUGCCCACUGGCUCCCUACAAAGUUUUUUAUGUGAGGACUCGGUCUCAGGCUCAGAAGUGGAAGAGAUGUGCCUUGACUCAGAUGAGACUUUGGACUUGGACUUUUGAGUUAAUUCUGGAAUGAGUUAAAACUUUAGGGGACUGUUG